ACAAGCGGUGGAGCAUGUUGGUUUAAUUCGACGCAACGCGAAGAACCUUACCAGGGCUUGACAUCCCCUGACUGCGUAUGAAAGUACGUUUUCACCUUCGGGAGACAGGGAGACAGGUGGUGCAUGGUUGUCGUCAGCUCGUGUCGUGAGAUGUUGGGUUAAGUCCCGCAACGAGCGCAACCCCUACGUUUAGUUGCUAACGCGUGAAGGCGAGCACUCUAGACGAACUGCCGUUGACAAAACGGAGGAAGUGGGAUGACGUCAAAUCAUCAUGCCCCUUAUGUUCUGGGCUACACACGUGCUACAAUGGCCGGUACAGACGGACGCAAAGCCGCGAGGUGGAGCAAAUCCUAGAAAGCCGGUCUCAGUUCGGAUUGCAGGCUGCAAUUCGCCUGCAUGAAGUCGGAAUCGCUAGUAAUCGCAGGUCAGCAUACUGCGGUGAAUACGUUCCCGGGCCUU
rnacentral:rRNA from 1 species